rnacentral:rRNA from 1 species
UACGUAGGGGCCAAGCGUUGUCCGGAUUUAUUGGGCGUAAAGGGCGCGUAGGCGGUCAGCACAAGUCAGUUGUGAAAUCUCCGGGCUUAACUCGGAAAGGUCAACUGAUACUGUGCGACUAGAGUGCAGAAGGGGCAACUGGAAUUCUCGGUGUAGCGGUGAAAUGCGUAGAUAUCGAGAGGAACACCUGCGGCGAAGGCGGGUUGCUGGGCUGACACUGACGCUGAUGCGCGAAAGCCAGGGGAGCGAACGGG